CCUCUUCCCUUUCCUCUUCUCUGCUAACAGGGACCGGGUCGUAGCAGUUUUCGUGCAGGGUCCUGCGUGGCAGUUCAAAGGUUGGCCGUGGCUUUUGCCUGAUGGAUCACCAGUUGACAUAUUUGCUAAAAUUAAAGCCUUCCAUCUCAAAUAUGAUGAAGUUCGUCUGGACCCAAACGUUCAGAAAUGGGACGUAACAGUAUUAGAGCUCAGCUAUCACAAACGUCAUCUGGACAGACCAGUUUUCUUACGAUUCUGGGAAACAUUGGAUAGGUACAUGGUAAAGCACAAAUCCCACUUGAGAUUCUGAGUUACUACUUGUUUUCUUGCUUUUCUGGAAAUCUGAACUAAGAUGAUAACACCGCGGAUACACCGUGAUACACCGUGCUCUAAAGACUGGGACUGAAGCUUUAUGAAUUUAUCAAGAACUUAAAAAUGAAGAAGGUCACGGAUUGAUCUUUUAUAAAACCUUAUUUGAUGAUUUAUGCUUCAAAGGGAUGAUGCCUGUCAUCCAUAUAAGCAAACUUUUUGGCUUACAGCUAUUUUUUUAAUAUUAGUCUUCUAGUCUGUAAUGGAAAUUGUAUAUUUUGAUAGAAGUUUUUUCUCCAUUGGUUACAUUAGCAUCACUUAAAAUUUGUUUCUCUAGGUAAUAAAUACAGGUUACAAAUGUGUGUAUAUGUAGAGGUUAUAAGGCUCUCUAAGCCAUCUUGCUUCUGAUUUUUCAUUGCUCUUUAAUUCCUUUUAUUGAAAAUACUAUGUUAUGAAUGGUAUUAAAAUUUAGUCUCUGAAACGUCAAAAACCAAGCAAAGGGAUGUGACUAUUUUGAAUGAAUCAAAAUAUCAGCCUGUAUGUGUACUAUGCUUUCUCUUUAUUUAAAAAGGAAUAAUGAAAAAUCAAGAAGAAUUCUUCAGCUUUGGUUGAACUGUUCAGUUUUUUAAGACUUCUUUACUUAUAAUGAAUACAUUUAAUGAAUGUACAUUCUUCUCACUGACUUUGGUAAUUUUAAAACUUAAGAGUGAUAUGUUUCUAUCUGUGAUAUCUUUCCACUUGAAAAAUCUCAAAACACAGAUUAAAAACCUAAUAGGCUAUAAUACUUUUUAUUUUGGGAGCCAGAAUAUGAUUCGGGGGAAAGAAAUGUAUACGUCCUUCUGCAGUGUAACUUUAUCUUUUCUCAUAAGUCCACCUUCCAAUUCUUCCUUUAUAUGGUAUAGGAUUUUGAGUCUUCUAUUUCUAGGCAUGUUCUUAUCUUCCAUUAUCUUUAAUAUUGAUAACUCUCCCAGACACCAAAGAACAUAUUUGAUUAAUUAAGUGUCUGAACAGAAACAAGAUGAAAACACUGGUAUUUUUAUGUGCGUAUUCAAUAUCGUAUAAAAUAUAAAACCUAUAUUUUAACUUAGCAAAAUAUUUUACUACUUCUGUACUUUAGACAGAGUGUUGCCUCCAAGGUACAAUGAAUGAGCAUUUUUCUUGAGUCUUGAUCCAUCUUUUAUUCCUUAAAAAGCAACUUGGACCCUUUACUCCCCUAAAGAGUUUUUACCACUAGAAUUGCUGCUGAUCAUUCAUCUUAUGCCAUUCCCGUCCUCCCCGCCCCCCUACAUUUAGCUCCUUUCUGGGUUAAGCUGACAUUACCUAGCCUCAUUUUGAAAUUUAAUGCUGUCAUAAAAAUGAGAAGCACUUAAUAUUUAUUUUUUAAGUAACCACAAAAGUCCAUGUCAGUAAUGAAUAGAAAAAGUAUUUAUUCAUAUGGAAUUUACUAGGUUCUUCAGGAAAAAAGCAGUCAGCAUUUUAAAUUAUUAGGAUUUAGGAUAUGUAUAAGAUUUUAACAGAUUGUGCCCCGCCCCCCCUUCUUACCUUCUUUGCAUCCUUUCUUCUUGAAAAGAAAACUCAAAUUUGUUCACAUUAGAAUUUCUCAGUAUAUAAAUCUGUUUUCAAAAUAUGUAUUGUAUGAACUUUCUCCAUGAUGAAAUAGUCAAGGACUAGAAUCUGUAAUAUUUUAAUGUAAGAUUACUUGUUAAGACUACUACAAGUGGACAUGAACUACCUUUCUAUAAAGAUUUUUAGUAUUUAUACUUAUGUAUGAAAUUUACAGAGUGUGGUUAUAACUCAGAACAUCUACUUUCAAUAGGGUUUAUUUUUCUAUCUUGAAUUUGCCUUACGUGUAUUCAAAAGCUCUGGAAAUAACAUUAGGAAAAGUACAAAUAUGCUAUGAAUUUCAUGUAUCUUAAAAUCAGACCCUUAAUGCAUAGUUAAUUUCUUUUCCUUUUUUAAAAAUUCAUUCCCUUAUCUAGGUCCAUGGAAUUCAUUUUAUAGCCAUUAAUUCUAAGGGAAAAAAAAAAAAAAACUUCUGGCCAGUCACUCUCCUUUUCUCAUGACUCCAGGUCCUGUAGCAGUGCCUGUCAUGGUGCCUUGCACAUAGUAGGCAUUCAGUAAAUGUUCUGUGCAUGAAUGAGUGAUGGAGUUUCAGUAUAACUGGUUUAUUACAAAGCAUUGACUCUACUUGAUCUUGGAGCUUAAAAAUAUAGAAUCACAAUGAAUGAAGAGUCCUAUGCACAUAUUUUGAUGGAAAUGAAAUACACAUUAGUAAGCUUGAUUUAUCCACAAGUAACUGGAGACACCCGUGUCUUGUCCCACCAGUAAAAGAAAGCUCCUUUUCUUCAUUUGUAGGAUACUUUUCUGAGUCGGGCAACAGUCAGAAGCUUGUGAGUUUCCAUCAGCAGCCCUCAACCCUGACUGUAUACUAGAAUCACUUGGGGGCCUUUAAAAAAAUUCCAUUACCUGAAUCCUGUUUCUGAUUUUAUUUGUCUGGGAUGAGACCCAUUCAUCAGUAUUUUUAAAAAGUCCUUCAGGUAAUUUUAUGUUCAAAAACAUAAUUGAAAAUCACUGGUUAAAUAUGAAAACAAAUAUUGUGUCGUCUCCUCCUUUUUUUGUUUUUGUUUUUUUCUUUUGUGGCCACCUUUUUGCACUAGACCAUCCCCAUUAUUGGUGGUAUUGGCCUAUGGUUCCACAUGACAAAUUCAAGUCUUAUUUAUUUAAUGUAGGAAUAUUUUGUUUAAUAUUUAAAUAAUGUUUAAUAUAUUUCCUUAUAAACUAGUCUUAUAGUUCAUGAUUUGUUUCCCAUGUAUCCAUCUCCUUUACUAACUUUUUCUUUCAACAGCAGCAUGACAAUAGUCCAAAAGAAGUAACUGAUUCAUAAUGGGAAAAAUUUCAUAAUUUUUAAGGUAGAAGGAAGUAAAGUAUUAAUUUCUUAUCUGCCAUGCAGAAUUAGACAAAUAGAGUCUGCUUAUGAAAGGAAAGAGGCAUACUUUUUAAUUGGUCUACACAGAAAAGUAAAAGUAUUCAUUUAAAUAAGAUUCAUUAUCUAAUGAACAUUGAAGGAAAUAUUUUUCCUAAAUAAAAAAUAUUGUGACUCCUAAUAAAAUUAAAGUGAUGACAUUGUUCUUUUUUUGGAAGGUGGGGAGGGGGGUAUUUAGUUGCCAUAUUUCUUACUACAUAGCAAUUCUAUUUUAUUGGUAUUAAUAAUAGAAACAGUGAUGAUAGGGUAUACAUAUGUGGCCAGGAAUAAAUUGCCACUCUUCCAGAUAACUGUUCUAUGAGUCUUACUAAUUUAUAAAUCAGCUUAUAAAAUUUUUUAAGACCAGUGGUAUAUUUUAUAAUAUUACAAAUGCAUUCUUUAUAAAAGCUGGUCAAAAUUAACCAUGAAAAAUAAUCACUUUAACCUUAAUAUUACAUGACUGAGCUUUUAUUAUUCAGUUGGAUUUGAUGUGGAACGGACUACUCUAACCAUGGUAUAUUAACUUUAGAAAUAAAAAGGGGAGAAAUGACUGAAUUUGACUUAAGAAUUGGAUUAGAAAUUUGGAAAUGCCACUUGCUAUGUGUUCUGGGCAGUUCAUUGCCACAUUGGCAACUCAUUGCUGACUCAAGACCCCAGCACAGUUUCUACAUUAACAUGUUGGAAUAAUUAAGAAAAAAAAUUUAAAUGUAUAAUAGAUGUAUAAAGAAUUAUAUUUAGUAAAUGGAUAAUAGGUGAUAACACUUCCAGGUUAUUGGUCUGUUUGUUUUUUUAUGUAUUAUUUUAGGUAGUGUUUAUAAGAAUAUCUUGGGAGUUACAAAUGUGUGCCAUUUAAGUGAGUAAAGUUAAUGAAAUAAAACUAAUUUUAUUGCCGAA